rnacentral:rRNA from 1 species
AGAGUUUGAUCAUGGCUCAGAUUGAACGCUGGCGGCAGGCCUAACACAUGCAAGUCGAGCGGUAGCACAGAGAGCUUGCUCUCGGGUGACGAGCGGCGGACGGGUGAGUAAUGUCUGGGAAACUGCCUGAUGGAGGGGGAUAACUACUGGAAACGGUAGCUAAUACCGCAUAAUGUCGCAAGACCAAAGUGGGGGACCUUCGGGCCUCAUGCCAUCAGAUGUGCCCAGAUGGGAUUAGCUAGUAGGUGGGGUAACGGCUCACCUAGGCGACGAUCCCUAGCUGGUCUGAGAGGAUGACCAGCCACACUGGAACUGAGACACGGUCCAGACUCCUACGGGAGGCAGCAGUGGGGAAUAUUGCACAAUGGGCGCAAGCCUGAUGCAGCCAUGCCGCGUGUGUGAAGAAGGCCUUCGGGUUGUAAAGCACUUUCAGCGGGGAGGAAGGCGGUGAGGUUAAUAACCUCACCGAUUGACGUUACCCGCAGAAGAAGCACCGGCUAACUCCGUGCCAGCAGCCGCGGUAAUACGGAGGGUGCAAGCGUUAAUCGGAAUUACUGGGCGUAAAGCGCACGCAGGCGGUCUGUCAAGUCGGAUGUGAAAUCCCCGGGCUCAACCUGGGAACUGCAUUCGAAACUGGCAGGCUAGAGUCUUGUAGAGGGGGGUAGAAUUCCAGGUGUAGCGGUGAAAUGCGUAGAGAUCUGGAGGAAUACCGGUGGCGAAGGCGGCCCCCUGGACAAAGACUGACGCUCAGGUGCGAAAGCGUGGGGAGCAAACAGGAUUAGAUACCCUGGUAGUCCACGCCGUAAACGAUGUCGAUUUGGAGGUUGUGCCCUUGAGGCGUGGCUUCCGGAGCUAACGCGUUAAAUCGACCGCCUGGGGAGUACGGCCGCAAGGUUAAAACUCAAAUGAAUUGACGGGGGCCCGCACAAGCGGUGGAGCAUGUGGUUUAAUUCGAUGCAACGCGAAGAACCUUACCUGGUCUUGACAUCCACAGAACUUUCCAGAGAUGGAUUGGUGCCUUCGGGAACUGUGAGACAGGUGCUGCAUGGCUGUCGUCAGCUCGUGUUGUGAAAUGUUGGGUUAAGUCCCGCAACGAGCGCAACCCUUAUCCUUUGUUGCCAGCGGUCCGGCCGGGAACUCAAAGGAGACUGCCAGUGAUAAACUGGAGGAAGGUGGGGAUGACGUCAAGUCAUCAUGGCCCUUACGACCAGGGCUACACACGUGCUACAAUGGCAUAUACAAAGAGAAGCGACCUCGCGAGAGCAGGCGGACCUCAUAAAGUAUGUCGUAGUCCGGAUUGGAGUCUGCAACUCGACUCCAUGAAGUCGGAAUCGCUAGUAAUCGUAGAUCAGAAUGCUACGGUGAAUACGUUCCCGGGCCUUGUACACACCGCCCGUCACACCAUGGGAGUGGGUUGCAAAAGAAGUAGGUAGCUUAACCUUCGGGAGGGCGCUUACCACUUUGUGAUUCAUGACUGGGGUGAAGUCGUAACAAGGUAACCGUAGGGGAACCUGCGGUUGGAUCACCU